UGAGGUAGAAGGCCCCUGGAGUUUUUA
rnacentral:piRNA from 1 species